rnacentral:rRNA from 1 species
CUUUAAUAGGAUGUUACGAUUGUGUGAAUACAUAGCACAUUCGAGGUAGACGCAGAGAACUGAAACAUCUAAGUACCUGCAGGAAGAGAAAGAAAAUUCGAUUCCCUGAGUAGCGGCGAGCGAAACGGGAAAAGCCCAAACCAGCAAGCUUGCUUGUUGGGGUUGUAGGACUCCAAUAUGGUAGUUCUUUCAGAUAGUCGAAUGACUUGGAAAAGUCAGUCAAAGAGGGUAAAAACCCCGUAGACGAAAUGUGGAAGACACCUAGGAGGAUCCUGAGUACGGCGGAACACGAGAAAUUCCGUCGGAAUCCGGGAGGACCAUCUCCCAAGGCUAAAUACUCCCUAGUGACCGAUAGUGAACCAGUACCGUGAGGGAAAGGUGAAAAGCACCCCGGAAGGGGAGUGAAAUAGAACCUGAAACCGUGUGCCUACAACAAGUCAAAGCCCGUUAAUGGGUGAUGGCGUGCCUUUUGUAGAAUGAACCGGCGAGUUACGAUUGCAUGCGAGGUUAAGUUGAAGAGACGGAGCCGCAGCGAAAGCGAGUCUGAAUAGGGCGUUUGAGUAUGUAGUCGUAGACCCGAAACCAUGUGAUCUACCCAUGUCCAGGUUGAAGGUGCGGUAAAACGCACUGGAGGACCGAACCCACGUACGUUGAAAAGUGCGGGGAUGAGGUGUGGGUAGCGGAGAAAUUCCAAACGAACUUGGAGAUAGCUGGUUCUCUCCGAAAUAGCUUUAGGGCUAGCCUCGGAAUUGAGAAUGAUGGAGGUAGAGCACUGUUUGGACUAGGGGCCCAUCUCGGGUUACCGAAUUCAGAUAAACUCCGAAUGCCAUUCAUUCAUAUCCGGGAGUCAGACUGUGAGUGAUAAGAUCCAUAGUCGAAAGGGAAACAGCCCAGACCACCAGCUAAGGUCCCAAAAUAUAUGUUAAGUGGAAAAGGAUGUGGGGUUGCACAGACAACUAGG